GGUCCCAUGGUGUAACGGUAAACACUCUGGUCUCUGACUCCAGCGAUCUGAGUUCAAAUCUCAGUGGGACCU
rfam:Nestor notabilis contig54182, whole genome shotgun sequence.